GACGAACGCUGGCGGCGUGCUUAACACAUGCAAGUCGAACGGAAAGGCCCUGCUUUUGUGGGGUGCUCGAGUGGCGAACGGGUGAGUAACACGUGAGUAACCUGCCCUUGACUUUGGGAUAACUUCAGGAAACUGGGGCUAAUACCGGAUAGGAGCGCCUGCUGCAUGGUGGGGGUUGGAAAGUUUCGGCGGUUGGGGAUGGACUCGCGGCUUAUCAGCUUGUUGGUGGGGUAGUGGCUUACCAAGGCUUUGACGGGUAGCCGGCCUGAGAGGGUGACCGGCCACAUUGGGACUGAGAUACGGCCCAGACUCCUACGGGAGGCAGCAGUGGGGAAUAUUGGACAAUGGGCGGAAGCCUGAUGCAGCAACGCCGCGUGCGGGAUGACGGCCUUCGGGUUGUAAACCGCUUUCGCCUGUGACGAAGCGUGAGUGACGGUAAUGGGUAAAGAAGCACCGGCUAACUACGUG
rnacentral:rRNA from 1 species